AUUGAACGCUGGCGGCAUGCCUUACACAUGCAAGUCGAACGGUAACAGGUCUUCGGAUGCUGACGAGUGGCGAACGGGUGAGUAAUACAUCGGAACGUGCCCGAUCGUGGGGGAUAACGAAGCGAAAGCUUUGCUAAUACCGCAUACGAUCUACGGAUGAAAGCAGGGGACCGCAAGGCCUUGCGCGAACGGAGCGGCCGAUGGCAGAUUAGGUAGUUGGUGGGAUAAAAGCUUACCAAGCCGACGAUCUGUAGCUGGUCUGAGAGGACGACCAGCCACACUGGGACUGAGACACGGCCCAGACUCCUACGGGAGGCAGCAGUGGGGAAUUUUGGACAAUGGGCGAAAGCCUGAUCCAGCCAUGCCGCGUGCAGGAUGAAGGCCUUC
rnacentral:rRNA from 1 species